rnacentral:rRNA from 1 species
CAGUCGCCGCGGUAAUCCGGAGGGGGCUAGCGUUGUUCGGAAUUACUGGGCGUAAAGCGUGCGUAGGCGGUGAGUUAAGUCUGCUGUGAAAUCCCCGGGCUCAACCUGGGAAUGGCAGUGGAUACUGGCUCGCUAGAGUGUGUCAGAGGAUGGUGGAAUUCCCGGUGUAGCGGUGAAAUGCGUAGAGAUCGGGAGGAACAUCAGUGGCGAAGGCGGCCAUCUGGGACAACACUGACGCUGAGGCACGAAAGCGUGGGGAGCAAACAGGAUUAGAUACCCGCGUAGUCCCUGUCUCUUAUAC